rnacentral:rRNA from 1 species
UACGUAGGGGGCAAACGUUGUCCGGAAUCAUUGGGCGUAAAGAGCGUGUAGGCGGUCCGUUAAGUCGGCUGUGAAAGUCCAAGGCUCAACUUGGGAUGCCGGUCGAUACUGCCGGACUAGAGUUCGGAAGAGGCGAGUGGAAUUCCCGGUGUAGCGGUGAAAUGCGCAGAUAUCGGGAGGAACACCUAUGGCGAAGGCAGCUCGCUGGGACGUUACUGACGCUGGAGACGCGAAAGCGUGGGGAGCAAACAGG